UCCCAUUACUACUUUGGUGAGAAACUGCUGCAAACAAUUGUGUGUGUGUGUGAGUGAACUGUCUGAAUGAAUCAAACUGAACGGCAAACAAUUUCAGACUUUCUUGCAAACCUAUUUGACAGAUUAGAUUAAAAGAGUGAUUUAUUUGCAUAUCUGGGAUCACCAAUUUUGAGUCUAAACAGCUGAUAUAAAAUACACAACAUGAUUGCUAAAAUAUUUUCAAAUAAAUUUUCAUGUUUGUAUACAUCAAUCCCACUUACACAAGGAUUUAUCAGUAAUAUUUUACUGGGGCACAGUGGUAUUUCACUGGUGAUCAGUAAAAAGCUCUAGCAUAGCAGUUAUUUUAUUUAAUAUUUUUGAUCUUUUAUUUUGUUUUUUAUUUUUUUUGUUUUAUUUUACCUUUUUUAUUUUUUGUUUUAUUUUAUUAUUUUACUUUUAUUUUAUUAUCUUUUUAUUUUUUUAAGUUUAUAAUACUGGCCACAAUUUUAAUAUCAGAAAGUAACCACCACAUAAUGGUGAAUUUUUAAAAGGGCAUGAUUUGAUUUUUAUCUGGCUAUGAUAACAGGCAAAACAUCCCAUACCCUUUUUGUCAUAUCAGCUGUUUGCCACUUAUAUUGGACGUCUUUCUUUCUUUUUCUUUCUUUCUUUCUUUCUUUCUUUCUAGUGAAUUUUACAUGAGCAAGCACCACUGUUUUUCUUAAUAAUAUGUGUAAUUAUAUGCUUUGUUUAUCUUCAGCGGUGGGGAAUCCACUCUGAUUUCUUCUUUUAUUAGAGGCAUUUCUCGUCUGCUCCCACAUGAAAAAGCCCAGUGAGCAACAGAGCGCUGAAUAACACCUCUCUUAUACUGACUCAUCUGCUCCUCUCUAGAGCUUUCUUCACACUCUGAGGAUGAGAGAAAAAUAUUGAGGAUGUGAGCAAUCCCUUCACCUUUAAGAGUUAUCUUCAGAAUGGAGCUUGUUCUUUUUCUGAAGUUUCAGUCUCAGAAUCCAGUCCUGGAAUCAGUCACCCUGCCAGUGAGGAAUACAGUGAAGAGGCCGUCCUGGCACCGGACAGCAUGACCUUCAGAGGACUGGACUGAACUUGGACUGUGUUUAGGUAGCAUGAAGUAGAGAACAACCUCCUGCUGAAGCCAUGAGUCACUGCCAUCAACCUCAUUUAAACCAUAGCGCUGAUAUCACUGGAUAUGUUAAAUAGGUCAGGUGCACCUCUAUGUGCUACAUACUGCUCACAAAAGAAGACUGCAUCCAUGUGAAUUGGUGGUAAAUUGGUCUAAUUGUGGUAAAAGCUUAAGUCUUCAGAUAGGGGUCAACCAAGCAUUUUUGCAUAUAUACAGUAUGUAUACAUUAUAUACAUAUAUAUUUAUCAUAUAUUGUUAACAUACAUAACAGGCCUCCUUGCUCUGUUUGAAGGGUUUAAGCACAGAAUGCAGCGUGUAACCCCAGAUUGAACCCAGUAUGUAAUAAUAAAAUGCGUAUUAAUCUGUGAAUGCAUUUAAAAUCUAUGGAUAAUGUAAAGGUUUUAAUGCCCUUAUGUUUUAAUAAGGUGACUGUAGAUAUAUAGUGAGAUGGUUAAAGUGGGACUAGCUGUUACUCCUCUUGGGCUGAGGAUUUUCUCGUGGAUCUCCAGUAUAGCCCAGGUUAAUGGAAUUGCUUUAGAUCUGGUUUUGGGGAUUGAGAAGCCUCUGUUUAGAUUAAUGUGAGCGCCAGGGAUGACGGGAAAGCGGGAUGCUGCCAGUGCUCUCUAAUAACACUGUGAGGGGUGGGGGUCAAUGCAGGGCACGCCCAAUCUGGCUAGACUGUUUCAUCAGUGGAGUCUCUCAUAAUCCUCUUUCUCUGACUGCCACCGUGACCAUGUGACCGCCUGUGUAACAGAAACCAUGAAUCUCAGACAGCAGGGCAGCUAAAGGGCUUUAUGAAUUGUAAACAAACUUGCAUGCAUUAUGAAUGAUGAAAUAAAUCCAAAUCAGCAUGGCAGGGUAGACGUUACCCAAAUUUAAAGAACAGUUCUCUAAAUAUUUCCACCCUCUUGUUUAAAUGUCAUGCGCUUCCUCUUACAGUGAAGAGGUUGUGUAUCAGUUAUCCGUACCCUCAGCUGGAGGAAUCAAAUUAGACUGAAUUCCUUUGUAAAGUGGUCUCUCACCUCUAUCAUGGGACAUGUUGUACUUUAUUGUUUCUGGGUGGUCUUCUCUCAGAGGUCCUGUUUCUUAAUGUCAGCUUUCUCACAACCUUUUAGCAUUAAAUGUAGUAUUACAGGUUACACAUCCUUCAAGGGGUUCCCGGAUUCAACCGGCACAUGCAGCCUGUGCGUAUUUGUUUUGUGACGUGCACAUUAUGCAAAAAGACAAGCUGUUAUGUCAACAUUUCCUAAUUCUGUACAGUUAUAUCUUGCUUCUGAACUCAUUUGACACUCACAUCCUCUAGUUUUCCAGACAAUUUCUUUUUCUUAUCACUUUUUUCCUUUGAUUUCCCUCCCCCGUCGCUAACACUCUCUGUUCUUUAUCUAAGGGCAGCAGGCCAGGCCCACGUGUACCAGCUCUCUGAAGAAGGCCAGUUCAGUGGAAACUAGCAAGCAAACACUGAAAAGGACACACGCUCCCUCAAUGUCAGUAAAUAUUUGGUCACAACUUCAAAGGGAAGUGACAGUCGUUUAAAACUGGGGAUGAGGUUGGGUGCAAUUAGAGCAGGUGAAUGCGCAAGUUUGCAGUUUAAAAUCAAUGUGAUUGAUUCAUGGCCAUUUAUUCUGAGCUUUUUACUAAUAAUCAUGUACUGUCUUAGCUUUCAUAAGACCAACAUGGCAAGGUAUUUUUAGAGGCAGGCUGUGAUGUAAUGUAACAACAUGCUGCUGUCACCUGCAAGACCAGCUGUGCUGGUGGCUCAGAGAAAUGGACUAAUGAGGGUCCUGAAGAGAAUGUGAUGCAUUGAAUAAAGUGUAGUUAUAUAAAGAUGGAUUAUCAAUUAAGCAUUUUUUGCUUCUGUUCAGCUCUUCCUGUCCCUGAAGUGUUCUGAAAUCACCCCUCUAGAUCAUCCUCUGCAGACUGCAGUUUUUCCAUGGGUCAGAAAUAUUAUGAAAUAGAUGGUAAAAUAUAGAGGUGUGCAGCUUGUUCCUCCUAAAGGCUUAGUUAAUAAAGAACAGUACACCAAGCACAUUUGUUGUGUCUGUUGAUCGCAAUUACUGAAGUUUUUAUAUGCAUUAUUUGUCUGUAUUUGUCUUGUUGUACAUUUAGCUCUGACAUUUUGGCUUUUAAACGAAUAGUUCACCCAAAAUCAUUAUAUGCAGAUACAUAGGAUACAUAGAUACAUAGGCAAAGGAGGUCUCAGUAGAGAAAAAUCUUUGUCCUUUAAAAUCUUUUAUUUGUUUUAUACUUGAUUUAGGAUUAUUUUGUAACAUUGUUAGUUUCUGUACUAUUUCAAAGGAAAAGGAAUAAGUAUACAGGAAUUUAUACUUUCUAUAUAUCAAAAACAUCCUGGAAAAAAAAAAUCUUUUCCACUUUUUUCAUCAUUGAUAAUAUUCAGACUUGUUACAUGAGCAACAAAUUGGCAUAUUUGAAUGAUUUCUGAAGGAUCGUGUGGCAUAGAAGACUAGAGUAAUGAUGCUGAAAAUGUUCCACAAGUUGAUAUGAUUCUUUAGGGUCUUAAUGAAAAGUCUAUAACAUGCUUUGGUUAAAAUUUCUCAAUAGUAGUAUAAAACACAGUGUUUAACCGGUCAAAAACUGCUCUUUUCAGAGCAAGCCGUAUUGUUGCAUGUCGCUUUAAAUGCUAAUGAGCUCUGCUGACCCCACCCCUGUGCCGAGCAGACUGUAAACUUUAGCUGCAUUUUGCCACGAAACUUGCUAACUAGUACACAAAAGGUGAUGUCCAAAGAUUCAUAAAAAAAAUCCUCACUUCUACUGUAGAUGAAGCUCGGUCAGGAAUGAUUUGCGCGAACAUAGACGCAUUUAGGCAGGUCGGGGAUCGGCGCAUUCCUUUCAAAAAUGAAAGUAACGUUAAUCCUCUGCGUCUUCAGCGGCUCAGAUGUUGGGAGUAAAUGACGCCUGCUAUGUUCAUUAUUACAUCCAACAACAAAACACCUCAAUUGCUUAUUCGGAUAUGUUCUUGUCUUCCCCUGCACCGGAGUCGACACAAUGGCAGACAGCUCACAGCUCACUCAGGACAGCAUCCUGACAUUUUAUCCUACCCGUCAGAUUGUACUACCAGGGUUUACUGCGCAUGCACACAUCAAUAUUGCGUCCUUUUUCUCAUGCUAAACAACAGCAUUUAAUGUAUCUUCAUUGCUGUAAGUGUAGGUUUAGGGUUGGGAUAGGUAUAGACUUCAAUAAAAAUACCUAUCUAAUAGGUAGAAAAAAAUUAUUGUUGGUUUCCUGUAGCAGUAUCCCUUCUAGCUACAACCGCGAGUAUAACACAUAAUUACUGUAUUUGCAUUACUGUAAGGGUAGGUUAAGGGUUGUGGUAGGUGUAGACAUUAAUAAACCAUAACUUUACAGUAGGAUUUUUUGUUGUCGAAUUGUACUACCCACUGUUUCAAUGGGAGGUUUCCAAAUCUGACAGGGUAGCACAAAUCGACAGAACAGCAGGUCAAAGGUAAGAUGGCCUGGUCAAUCAACUAUUGUAGGAGGGGCAUUUGCAGAACUAUGUCACUCUGACAGGAAUCUCAGAACAGCCUGAUUUGAGAAAGGGAUUUAAAAAAAAACACUGGGUGGAUUUUUAUCAUUAUAGGGUGGAUGUGUACACACAUUUAUGUUCAAACAACAUCUAAAAGUGAAUUUUGCAUCCGAUGACCCCUUUAAGCCAUACCAUCGCAUGAAUUAUAUUUUAUUUAGAGACUUAUUUUACCAAAUUUUACUCACUCCAAACCUUUGAGCAUUAUUGUAUAUACAGUAGUACAAUAGAAAAACAAUUAGUGAACAAGAUGUGAAAUGUGAUUGCCAUUGCAUUGAACAAAAAUUGAUUUCCAGUGCAUUGUGAUUGGCCGAUCAAGCAAGCACUCGUCAGAAAUGUAACACCCCUUUCCAUAAUUGCGAGCUUCAUCUUUCAAAAUAAAUGUAGAGACAGAUAAUAAUGUCCUUAGUUUUACCAUCAGUUCAAGCCCGAAAGGGGAACAGAGUCGUGUGACAGACACAGUGAUGAAGCUUGUAUGUGCUUGCUGUACACAAGCCACGGACGGUUAAGACAGCUGACUCCACUGUAAUGUGACCCUGUCUCUCUCUCUCGUGCACACACACACACACAUAUACAACGUGCAAAACUCCGCAUUUGAACAGUCAAUAGCAAAUACUUAAACUAAUAACAAAAUAUACUUACAGUAGCUGAUUCAGAAGCACCAGAUUGUCAUAGCAUAGUCAGAAUUACCUCCUCUCCUAGGUUCACAAAACGGUCGUCCAUAAACUGCAUUUCUGUUCUGUUGUAAGUAAUCUUAAAGAUUCCUAAAUGCAUCUACUUUCAGAAGGCCAAAUAAAGUGAUUUACUUUCGCCUAGAAACACACAGCAUCUCCAUGAUGCACAGCAACACACUGACCUCCCUGGUUUUGAGACUUUAGUCUUUGCAAUUUCAGGGAUCUUAUCUAUGCACAAUCAGCUUGUAACACUCCAAAGAGAAAGGAAAACUUGAAAUCGCAUCAUAUGACCCCUUUAAUAAAGCCUCACAUCUUAUUAAUAUCAUGCUGGAAGCAAAAUCUGAUAGGUAGCACUUUUCGCUAUCGAAUUAUGCUACCCUCUGUUUUAAUGGGAGGUAGCAAAAUCUGGCAGGGUAGCACAAAUCGUCAGAACAUCAGUCCCGUUCCUCCCGACCACAGAUAAAGGUUUACAAGUCACUUUUUCCUGUGUUUUUCAAUCAAUUUCUUGACUUUUCCCCACUUAUGAACAACGCAUUUUCGUACAUGAUAAAAGCUCCUUGUGGUCUCUCGGUUUGGCCAAUUUAAGCAUCCAUAAACAAUGCAAAACACAUGCAUUUUGAGUUUCUGCUAGUGAUUCCCAUGGAGAAAAAUCACUUCCUGCCCUCCAUCUGCAUUUCGUGCAUCAUCAGUGACAUCAUGUGCAAACAACCUAUUGCAAAAUAUUUGCAAUCCAUAGUCAAGUUUUUGCUGAUGAGGGUUCAUCACAGGGUUAGCAAGGUGUCCGGCAGAGUCAGGACUUUGUCCUUUUUUUCUGGCAGCCUUGAUCCCUCUGGAUUGCUUGACAUUGCAUCAUUUAUCUGUAUCUGUUCCUGUGUGUUUAGUGUAGUGAAAGUGCGUCAGAGUGAGGGAAAGCAAGGAAAUCCCCUUCUGCCACGUGGGAUAUGAACAAAGACUCCAGUUUGCCUCAAACUUUCUCUCUUUUGCCUUGCAGCAGGAGAGGUCCCGCCACGCUCGACUGCCGGCAUUUACACUCCUCAGUCCUCUCUCACCGCAAACCUCCCCGUGGAGAUUGGCUCACUUUGUUUCCUCUAAGAUGAAUGUCUCUUUGAAACUCUUGUGGCAUUUGAGUGAACUGCAUUUAUAUUACAGGUUCCAGCUCUGUGGUGAUUCAUCGAAUGGGUACUACAGAGGAGUUUGCUGCAUCACAGAGCAAAUCUGUUAAGAUUCCUCAGAAACAUUUCUUUGACAUGACCAGCAAGUGUAUAUGAAUGAUGUCUCUUCAGAAAGAUCGGUUUACUGGUUCUCAAUUACUUUGUCUUUCUGUCCAUCCAUCACCUUAGUCUCACUUUCACAGUCUCUCCACCACUGUCUUUUCAUGUAGCGGUUUGUAUGAAUAAUAUAUGCCACGUUGCUUCGCCGUCAUUAAAGGUGACCUUGGUUAAUUAUUGAUUGGGUCAGAUGAUUACAGGCCUGACCUCUGUAUGUUCUCGUCUGCCUGUCGUCUCAGUUUUCAUGUUUACGCUCUUCCUCUUAUUCCUGGAGACCCUCAUAUGAUGAAUUACGGUCUAUUGUUAUUGCUGGGGGAGUGUUGGCGCCUUUACAGAGACAUGAAAUGUAAAAUUACAAAUGUAACCAUGAAUGUCAAGACUAUUACUUUGUUUUAAUGAAAUAUGUAAGAGGUAAUGUAUAGUCAGUUGGUCAUUAUCAUUAAAUAAACCCUGACAGGAUGAUCAGGUUCAGCCCCUGAAGGGGUUUAUUUUGUUACUGACCGACUGACUCUAAAAUGUCCUGCAUAUUACCUUGCUAUUGCCAAAUAAAUACAUAAAUGGAC
ensembl:lncRNA